UGAAAUUUAUAAUUCAUCUAUCCAGACAUCCAGCCUAUCAGUAACUAUUGAAAUAAAAUGAAUUUCCUUUGUCUCAUUCUCAUAUCGAGCUUGGCAUUCAUUUGGACAACUGUUGACGCUGGGUGUAGUAGUAACAGUCAAUG